ensembl:lncRNA
AGAUCUUAUUUUACAUACUACCCUUGACUGAAUUAAUGGCAUCACAUGGGAAUGCAAACACAAUUUUAGCAGCAAAUUGUGUAGAAAAAUAAAGAAUAUAGAGGACACACAUAGACUGCUGUGGGCAGUAAAAGAACCAGCCACAUGCAUGCUCCUCUGUGUUUAAAAUUGUACAAAAAAAUGGAAUAGAUUCAUUUGCAAGGGUUAAAGGGGAAAAAAUGGAUUCUGAAGUAGCAAGUCGCCCUUAAGUCGCUCUUCACUUUCUGCCUUCUUGAGGAGCAUUGAAGGGCUUGCCAAUGAGAUGCUUUAUUUAAGUUUACUAUAUUCCUGUUAGCCGGAUAUCAGUAACAGGGUGAGUGGUGCCGUUACGUGGCAUUGUACUGUUUUUCAGGUUUAAACAGCCCCUUUUGGUCUGAAGUCUAAAAGCAACUCCUUAUGAGCCUUAGUCCAGUUCCCUGAUUCCUCAGGUGUGAGAUAAUUCCUGCUCUGGAGGCCUUUUGGGUGUAGGCCAGCAGUUUAUACAAGGUGCUAGGUAUUGAACUAAGGGGAGAGAGCGGUUUUGUUUUGCUCUCCACAUCUGGCCACCCCACCAUCUGGUACAAGAAUUUAGGGCUAUCCAUAAAAGCAGUCCACAAUGAAUGACAAAAAUCCAAUCUGCUCUUUUAGAACGUGAUCCUAGUACUUUUCAGUGACACUGACUGACUCCUGAACACUGGAUCUCCAAGUUCUUUCUUGUUAGUGAAGCAAUUAAUACGGAACUAACACAAGCAUGCUCUGUGACUCCCCCUGCCUUUGCAGUGUGCCCAAACCAGCGCCUCUCGAAGGAGAAGCUUUUCACAUUUGUUUGCUUUGUGAUUUGUGCACUUGGUCUCCAUCCUUCAGCUCAAUUACUUGCUUAUGGUUUAAACGUCUGCAACUGAAGCCGCUAGGUUUUCUCCCUCUUGGUAUUUCCAUUAAGAGUUUCAAUAAAGCCUUUGUAAAGUUAAAGGUGAUUACAGUACACAGUAACCUUCAACACAUUAAUAUAACAUUAUUUUUUCUUAAUAAUUAGAAGUGCUGUUUCUACAGCCUGACUGUACCACUGAAUUUUAAGGAAAUCAGUACUUUAAAGGCAGAAAUUCUGAUGGAAAUUCUUUACUAAAAAGACAAAAUCUGGCUUCUAAUUAGCCCAUUUAAUGGUUUUCACGGAAGAAAUAUCAGAACAAGUAACUUUUAAACAUCUGAAACUGAACUCUUUCAGUAACUAUUUGAAGUGAUGGGUGCACCAUUUGUUUUAGACUAAUACUUGCUUAUGUCCACAACCUGCCAGCAAGGCCACAUAGUGCAGGGACGUGGCUGGGUCAAGGCCAUGGGAUGCGCUGGUCUGCCACUGUGUACACGAGUCACCUGGAUGGCAUUAAAUGAGAGGGGUUACUCAAAUGGAAACCACUCACAUGCGGAGCACGUGUUCGCACAGUCCAGCGUGUGACUUCAAAGAAAGAAAAGAAAAAAGCAAUGGAAAGUACCAUGAUUCUUCAAUUUCUUUCAUUUCCUUUAUGCCCGUCCAGAGAGCCAUAACUCCUAGUCAUGUGCUAAUAAGACAUUAGGAAGUUUAUUUCAAUACUAUGCUUGGGUUUUGUAGAUAGGUGUAGAGAAAUUGCUCAGCAAUGUGAAGGUAUGCUUUCCAGAUGAGAUUUUCAGAGAAGAAUCACAAAUUAAGACCUUUAAACUGCAUCAUUUCAUCUGAAUUUUCAGAUAUCUGUAUCUUAGCAUUUUUUAUGACAAAGGAAUGGUUGAAAUACAUUUUUCUAUAAUUAUUUUUCCAUUAAAGCAAGCGCUAACCAUAGUUAACAUUUUUAAUUAUUCAUAUCUAUACAGUUAUAAUCUAGUUUUCAUGGACUCUAUUUUCCCUUCCAAAAAGAGUAAUAACAAUAUCAAAAUCUUCUUUUCCAGUAUUUAAAGAUCAGAAAUCAAUUUUCUCUUGUGUUUCUGUCCUUACUAGGUAUUCAGAUAUCUAGAUGUACUGUACAUAUUAGUCUGGGUACCUUUACUAAUAUUCACAGUAUUUAAGAUUAUAAAUGCAAUUUGUUGUUAAGUAUGUUAUUUUAUUCUUGUGUAAAUUGUUUUGUACAAUCUUUAAAAACCUACAGUUUUGCAUUUGUAGAUAUUAAAGGUAAGCAAUUUAUUUUGUGUUGUCCUGCAUGUAUAUUUUUGCUGUAGAUAAGUGUUGCUUAGUUUACUCUUUCAGUACAUUUCUGUUUAAAUGAAUAAGCUUACAAACUUUAAUACAGUAUAUAUUUUCAGAAUAUAAACUUUUAUAUUUCUGUGGUAGGUUAGGGUAUGCGUUUUAGGCAAUCUUUUUCACUACUAUUAACUGUUCUUUUAAUCUCUAAUAUAAUGGUUUUGUGCCAAUAGUUUUUCAUUAGAAUAAAAUGCUCUUUCAAUGGUAGGGAUAAACAGACAAUUUUGGUUGGGGUUUGUUUUGGUUUGUUUUGGGUUUUUUUUAUUAUUUUGCCAGCCUUUACAGUUUUCAAAUGUAAUUUUAUUGCAUUUGUGAAUAAGCCUUACCAUUAGGUACAAGAAAUCUUUAAAGCUACAUAAAUUGCUUACGUAGUGCUAAGGACUUCCCCAAAUAAUUGCUGUAAGAAAGUUAGCAAAUCAGAGUACAGGGCCUUAAGUUUUUCCUGUGAAAAGGGUAAUACGGGUUGUUUCUUCUGAACAACAUAGGUAGACUUGUCAGCAUGGGCUUUGUUAUAUAUAAACUGUGCAUUUGUGCUCCCAACCACAGUAGUUUAUCUCAGGCUUUGUGUGGCUGGGUCUAUAAAAGUCAAAUCUGGCUAAAGCCAGCGCUCUUUAGGAGACACUAAAGAAGUUUACAUAAGAGACUUAUAGACAAUCUUAUAGUACAUUUGGGUACUCGGUAUCCUAGAUGUGUUAUCUGUGUCUGCCCAAUUAACCAUAUGUUUUAAGCCAUAUUAAAUCUCUUUACUGCUACUUUAAAUACUACACUGAAAGUCAUUCACUAGCUUGCUUACUCACAGACGGGAUUUCAAUUUUUAGUGAAUAAAAAUAUGCCUUCCAUAAGAACAAAGGACCAAAGAAUCGCAUUAUUCUAACAAAGCAUUAGUUCCUUCGCCAGUGAACUGAUUUGACAUUUAUACUGGAAAUCAGUCUCUUUCUGCUACAAACACUGCAUUCUCAUCCAUGUCAAGUGUAAGGGGAAAACAUAUAUCCACUGACCUAUUGGGAAAGGACUGACGUUCAGCUAGGAUGGCAUGUCUAUUGGUAAGGCUUAUUACCAAACCUCUGAGAUGAAGCAAAGAACCAAAAAUUCACAAAUUAUGUCAAUGUAAAUUUAUUUUCAGAACUUGCACAAAGAAUUAAUUGUAGAACUUUGCAAAUUAGGCCCUUAAGUUAUUUUGUCAAAAUGCCAUGGAACAGACUAAAACAGUUUUUAAUAUUUGUAAUGAUGAGUACAUAUUAUAAUAUUAUAAGGGUACAGGCACCCCUAUGUCACAGUGUUGUAAAUAUUUUCUGAAACUGGUACAGUACUGAGGGACUUGUAUCUUCUAUCAAAUAUUGACUGUCUAGAUCAAAUUGUACACAAUUUAUUUGUUGAUGGUCCUGUAACUAGUGUAUGGACACAUUUCUGGGUGCCUUAGAAGUUGUAUUUUUCAUGUGUGUUAAUAUGCAGUAUUUAUACAUUGUGAGAAGCUGCUUUGAAUAAAAAUAUUGAAACU